rnacentral:rRNA from 1 species
GCUAACUCGGUUGCGGCGUGCGGUGUAAGACGUGUGGGGAAUGGGGUGGCCGGAGUGAGUGGGCUGAAAGAGAGCGUUGGCGGCUGGGCACGUCGGGUGUGAAAGCCCGGGGCUGAAGCCCGGGUUUGCAUCCGAUACGGGCAGGCUAGAGUGUGGUAGGGGAGAUCGGAAUUCCUGGUGUAGCGGUGAAAUGCGCAGAUAUCAGGAGGAACACCGGUGGCGAAGGCGGAUCUCUGGGCCAUUACUGACGCUGAGGAGCGAAAGCGUGGGGAGCGAACAGGAUUAGAUACCCCGGUAGUC